GUCAUUGGUCAAAGCCGACGGGUUGUAUCCCCUGCUUCACUAGACCCAAAACUUCUGAGGGUGUAAGUUACAUCAGUGACCGUAAUUUUCGGGAGUGGAAGUCCAGAGAAGAGAAUGAAGCAAGAAGUAGCUUUGUAACACACGUUGGUGCUAUGCCUAUGGAACGUACCACAAAGAUCAUUUACAUAUGUCAUAGUUCUGGGGUAUCCAGAUCUCAAAAGGCCAGAGGCAGCUGAAGUUGCAAGGCAGUAACAAAAUGGGAGGUCAUUGCACUGCUGCCAUAGAGGUUAGCCAAGAUACAAAUGGUAUUUGUACUGUUGUUUGUUUCAAAACACAUUUGGACAUGAAAAAUAUUAUGGGUUUCUACACCUCCCUAUAUCUGAAAGGGAAGUCAUUGCUGGUAAAAUAGCCAAAGGCGUGACCUCCCAAAUAACUUUGGAUGAUGUGAGAGAGUCUAUCAAUUCAGAAGAGGUAGAAAGGCUCCACCUUUUAACUCGAAAGGACCUCCUUAAUAUAAAGAGGGACUUUGAAAUUAAUACUCACCAGUUCCAUGCCAAUGAUACAGUGAGUGUGAGCAUCAUUUUAGAACUAAUAAAAGACUGCAUUCUAAUGAACAAAAAUGUCGUUAAUAUGGACUAUUCAUCAGGCAAAGAUGUGAUGAGUGUGUUAAUGACAGAUCUACAGUGUCAAAUGCUUCAAAAGUUUGGCUCAAAAAUUGUGUGUGUAGAUUCAACACAUUGUACAAAUGUGUACAAGUUACUAGUAACAACACUAUUAGUUAUGGAUGAAUUUGGAAGUGGCAUUCCAGUUGCCUUCUGUGUUUCAUUGGUAACACUGAAACACUUUUAAUGUGCUGCUACAGUACAUCAUACCACUACACACUGGUACCAUUACUGGUGAUUGUGAUGGAAGCUGUUAUGAAACUCUUGCGAUUUUAUACAAAUUUGAUAUGGCGAGUUAACAGAACUUUUUAUCCAUGCGAGUAAAAUUAUUGUGUAAAAUCAAUAGCUCAGCCUCUUACAGAAGUCUCUUCAGGGUCCCUGAGAGUCUUUCACUUACAUGUCAACAUAUUAACUCUCCAAUAGUAUUUGUUGUUCAUAAUAGGGGUAAUUUUACUCUGUUCAGUAAAAUGAACUAGGAAAAUACUGGAAGUAAAGAUAAUGUCCAUGUAGACUAUGCAUUCCUGCCUGAUUCAGAAUGGAAUUUUACAUUCUGAUACAAAAGUCUGUAACAGGUUGCUGCUAAACAUCAGGUAGAAAACUGGAAAUCCAAAGAUAUUAAAAAAAAGUAAAAAUUAUUUUAUUAGCCUCUCCUAUAAUUAAGCAUAAUGUUUCAACUCAAGGAUGCAUAUGCUGGUUAACACUAAGGUUCAUAUUAAACAGGAUUCUAAUGUUACUGUUAUAUGUAAGGCUGAUGGUACGCAUUGUAAAAUUAUGAAAUGCUUUGUAUGAAGUAUGAGUGAAAAACAGCACUUGAAUAAAAAGACUAUUUCUAGCUUUCAGGAUCAUUAGUUCCUUCCUCUCUGAAGAUGGGUAUGUUUUGCAAGAUGGGUAAUGAGGGGAAUAUUGCUUGGACCACCAUGUAGAACACUUGUGUGACCCAUUCAUGAGCACUUCUCCAGUGUUUGAGAUACCCAGCAGGUCAGAUUAAACCAACACAUUGAAGGGGCCCAGAGGUGGGCUGCUAGAUAGUUUACCACUGGGUUCAACUAUGUGUGAGUGUUGUGAAGAUGCUAGGCAAACUCUUGUGAGAAUCCCUGGAGGGAAGACAAUGUUCUAAUUGUAGAACACUAUUGAGAAAAUUUAGAAAGCAUGAUAAAUCAGGGCUCAUAUGGAGGCAUAUAGGUAACCUUUCUGGAAUGGAAUGGAACGAGAAAGAAAAUGAUUUAUAGUGAUGCAAGGUACUCUCUGCCAUGCACCAUUUGGUUGCUUGUGUAAUAUGUAUAUAUAUAUAUUAAAAUAGGGAAGAAAAUUGUGGCUACCUACUACAUUCAAAAAUAUAGUUUAAAUUAAGCUAAAA